GAUCCCCACUCGCAUUCUCUCAACUCCGCCAUUCAUUUCUCUUACCACCGUGAGAUCCCUCCGAUGACGACUCCGGUCAGCCACCGCACCACUUUAAUCAAGUCGGCCGUCGCCUCUCGGCUCCUCCUCCUAUCCCUUAUCAUCCUCUGGCGGUCACUCGUCAGCCCCUACGACACCUCCGCCGGCCUGAACCCCAGCUGCCUCGCGGACCCCUCACCGUCUCACCCCGUCGGAGCUCAGCCGCUGCUCCCCGGCCUCGGCUCCGCGGUCGAGCGCAGCAUCGUGUGGGACGGUGUCUACUACAUCCGGAUAGCACAGUGCGGGUACGAGUACGAGCAGACCUACGCCUUCUUCCCUCUCCUCCCAAUUUGCACCUCCCUUCUCUCUCGCACAGCUUUGUCCCCGCUGGUUCCGGUGAUUGGCUACAGGGCUGUUCUGGGCUUGUCGGGUUAUCUGAUUAACAAUGUCUCUUUCGUGCUCGCGGCACUCUAUUUCUACAGGCUCUCUCUCGCUAUCCUGAAGGACCCAGAGGCAUCGCUGCGGGCUUCGAUUUUGUUUUGCUUCAAUCCAGCGUCCAUAUUCUAUUCGUCAAUCUACUCAGAGAGCCUAUAUGCGCUACUUUCAGUUGGAGGAGUAUUCUACUUAUUAUCUGGUGCAAGUAAUGUUGCUGUCCUCUGGCUUGCUUUGUCGGGUCUUUCAAGGUCCAAUGGAAUGCUUAAUGCUGGCUACAUCUUUUUCCAAGCAAUGCACCAGGUUUACAACGCAUGGUUUAUCAAGAAGAAAUCUUUUUUGGUUAUGCAGGUUCUUGUUGUUGCAGCUCUACGUGGAAUAUGCAUAUUUGUUCCAUUUAUGGCUUUUCAAGCUUUUGGAUACUACAAUUUAUGUCUUGGACGGCUUCCCAACGAACUAAGGCCCUGGUGCAAUAGAAGACUACCUCUCAUGUACAAUUACAUUCAGAACCAAUAUUGGGGAGUCGGGUUCUUGAAGUACUUCCGGAUUAAACAGCUGCCCAACUUUCUCCUUGCAUCCCCAAUCUUAUCACUGGCUCUAUGCUCGAUCAUCAGUUAUGCAAGAUCGAGACCAAGACUCUUCCUUUCGCUAGGCUUUCGAGCCCUUGCUGAGGAAAAGUCUGCAGAGCCACUCUUUUCAAUGGAGGCGGUUCAAGAAGACGCCAUCCCUAGAAAUCCUGGAAACCGAGAUAUCAGGAGAAGGAAGCAAACAAGCAAAGAAGUGUUCCCAGUAGAACACGACUUCCCAGAAAUAAAACCUUACCUAUCACCCUUGGCCCUGCCAUUCAUUCUGCAUUUGUUGUUUAUGGCAGCUACAGCAUUCUUUGUCAUGCACGUACAGGUAGCCACUCGUUUCUUGUCUGCAAGCGCUCCUCUGUAUUGGUUUGCUGCUUAUUUGAUGGUGUCUCCUGGUGGUUCCGGUUAUACAAUUUGGGCUUACUCUGGGGCUUACAUUCUUCUAGGCAGCCUGCUCUUCUCGAACUUCUUUCCUUUCACCUAAUGGGAUGGAUAGAUUAGCCCAUACGAGUUUCGCACUGCAGUCAAUUUUGCACGGUCCUUCAAUGUAGAAUUGCCUUGUCAGGGUUGGGAUUCUCGAUCUCUCUUGGACUACAAAGAAGAUAUAUUUUGAUGAUCGCCAGCGUUUUUCGGUUUGACAGUUUGAGAAAACAAAAGAGGGAGGAUUACCAUUCACAUAUCAACUGCGCCCUAUCCAUUUUACUUUGCUGUUCUAGUUCAAUGGUCAUACAUGCACAAGCUUGCUUCACAUCAUCGUCGUCCUUAAAUGAGAGACAGACUUGAUUGCAAGACAAGGUGGCUGUUCCUGUUUUGUUCUGCUCAAGGGAGUUAGACACCAAAAGAUCUGUUAACCUCGUCAAGUUGCCCAAUUGGUCAUGCCCCGAUUCCUGAUGAUAUGAUGAGUGUAUUGUACAGUUACAUGGGUCGUAGUGCGAAUAUGUGUUGAUAAAUCGAAGGUGCUAUCAUUCACGGGUA